GACGAACGCUGGCGGCGUGCUUAACACAUGCCAGUCGAACGGAAAGGCCCUGCUUUUGUGGGGUGCUCGAGUGGCGAACGGGUGAGUAACACGUGAGUAACCUGCCCUUGACUUUGGGAUAACUUCAGGUAACUGGGGCUAAUACCGGAUAGGAGCUCCUGCUGCAUGGUGGGGGUUGGAAAGUUUCGGCGGUUGGGGAUGGACUCGCGGCUUAUCAGCUUGUUGGUGGGGUAGUGGCUUACCAAGGCUUUGACGGGUAGCCGGCCUGAGAGGGUGACCGGCCAGAAUGGGACUGAGAGACGGCCCAGAGUGCAACGGGAGGCAGCAGGGGGGAAUAUUGCAGAAUGGGCGGAAGCAUGAUGCAGAAAAGCAGCGUGCGGGAUGACGGCCUUCGGGUUGUAAACCGAUUUAGACUGUGACGAAGCGUGAGUGACGGUAAUGGGUAAAGAAGCACCGGCUAACUACGUG
rnacentral:rRNA from 1 species